GUCGAACGGUAACAGGAAGCAGCUUGCUGCUUUGCUGACGAGUGGCGGACGGGUGAGUAAUGUCUGGGAAACUGCCUGAUGGAGGGGGAUAACUACUGGAAACGGUAGCUAAUACCGCAUAACGUCGCAAGACCAAAGAGGGGGACCUUCGGGCCUCUUGCCAUCGGAUGUGCCCAGAUGGGAUUAGCUAGUAGGUGGGGUAACGGCUCACCUAGGCGACGAUCCCUAGCUGGUCUGAGAGGAUGACCAGCCACACUGGAACUGAGACACGGUCCAGACUCCUACGGGAGGCAGCAGUGGGGAAUAUUGCACAAUGGGCGCAAGCCUGAUGCAGCCAUGCCGCGUGUAUGAAGAAGGCCUUCGGGUUGUAAAGUACUUUCAGCGGGGAGGAAGGGAGUAAAGUUAAUACCUUUGCUCAUUGACGUUACCCGCAGAAGAAGCACCGGCUAACUCCGUGCCAGCAGCCGCGGUAAUACGGAGGGUGCAAGCGUUAAUCGGAAUUACUGGGCGUAAAGCGCACGCAGGCGGUUUGUUAAGUCAGAUGUGAAAUCCCCGGGCUCAACCUGGGAACUGCAUCUGAUACUGGCAAGCUUGAGUCUCGUAGAGGGGGGUAGAAUUCCAGGUGUAGCGGUGAAAUGCGUAGAGAUCUGGAGGAAUACCGGUGGCGAAGGC
rnacentral:rRNA from 1 species